rnacentral:rRNA from 1 species
AGCGUUGUUGGGUAGGGGAGCGUUCUGUAAGCCGUUGAAGGUGGCCUGUGAGGGUUGCUGGAGGUAUCAGAAGUGCGAAUGCUGACAUAAGUAACGAUAAAGCGGGUGAAAAGCCCGCUCGCCGGAAGACCAAGGGUUCCUGUCCAACGUUAAUCGGGGCAGGGUGAGUCGACCCCUAAGGCGAGGCUGAAAAGCGUAGUCGAUGGGAAACAGGUUAAUAUUCCUGUACUUGGUGUUACUGCGAAGGGGGGACGGAGAAGGCUAGGCUAGCCGGGCGACGGUUGUCCCGGUUUAAGCGUGUAGGGGGUGUGACCUGGUAAAUCCGGUUGCAUAUCAACCCUGAGGCGUGAUGACGAUGCACUACGGUGCAGAAGUAGUUGAUGCCCUGCUUCCAGGAAAAGCCUCUAAGCUCCAGGUAACAUUAAAUCGUACCCCAAACCGACACAGGUGGUCAGGUAGAGAAUACCAAGGCGCUUGAGAGAACUCGGGUGAAGGAACUAGGCAAAAUGGUGCCGUAACUUCGGGAGAAGGCACGCUGGCAUGUAGGUGAAGUCCCUUGCGGAUGGAGCUGAAGCCAGUCGAAGAUACCAGCUGGCUGCAACUGUUUAAUAAAAACACAGCACUGUGCAAACACGAAAGUGGACGUAUACGGUGUGACGCCUGCCCGGUGCUGGAAGGUUAAUUGAUGGGGUCAGCCGCAAGGCGAAGCUCUUGAUCGAAGCCCCAGUAAACGGCGGCCGUAACUAUAACGGUCCUAAGGUAGCGAAAUUCCUUGUCGGGUAAGUUCCGACCUGCACGAAUGGCGUAAUGAUGGCCAGGCUGUCUCCACCCGAGACUCAGUGAAAUUGAACUCGCUGUGAAGAUGCAGUGUACCCGCGGCAAGACGGAAAGACCCCGUGAACCUUUACUAUAGCUUGACACUGAACAUUGAGCCUUGAUGUGUAGGAUAGGUGGGAGGCUUUGAAGCGUGGACGCCAGUCUGCGUGGAGCCAUCCUUGAAAUACCACCCUUUAAUGUUUGAUGUUCUAACUCGGCCCCAUAAUCUGGGGUGAGGACAGUGUCUGGUGGGUAGUUUGACUGGGGCGGUCUCCUCCCAAAGAGUAACGGAGGAGCACGAAGGUUAGCUAAUCACGGUCGGACAUCGUGAGGUUAGUGCAAAGGCAUAAGCUAGCUUGACUGCGAGAGUGACGGCUCGAGCAGGUACGAAAGUAGGUCUUAGUGAUCCGGUGGUUCUGAAUGGAAGGGCCAUCGCUCAACGGAUAAAAGGUACUCCGGGGAUAACAGGCUGAUACCGCCCAAGAGUUCAUAUCGACGGCGGUGUUUGGCACCUCGAUGUCGGCUCAUCACAUCCUGGGGCUGAAGUAGGUCCCAAGGGUAUGGCUGUUCGCCAUUUAAAGUGGUACGCGAGCUGGGUUUAGAACGUCGUGAGACAGUUCGGUCCCUAUCUGCCGUGGGCGUUGGAAGAUUGAGAGGGGUUGCUCCUAGUACGAGAGGACCGGAGUGAACGCACCACUGGUGUUCGGGUUGUCAUGCCAAUGGCAUUGCCCGGUAGCUAAGUGCGGAAAAGAUAAGCGCUGAAAGCAUCUAAGCGCGAAACUUGCCUCAAGAUGAGUCUUCCCUGGGCCUUUAAGGCCCCUGAAGGAACGUUUAAGACUAAGACGUUGAUAGGCUGGGUGUGUAAGUGCAGCGAUGCAUUGAGCUAACCAGUACUAAUGAUCCGUGAGGCUUAACCUUACAACACCGAAGGUGUUU